AUACCUUUCUCGGCCUUUUGGCUAAGAUCAAGUGUAGUAUCUGUUCUUAUCAGUUUAAUAUCUGAUAUGUGGGUCAUUGGUCCACACGAUAUUAAAUUACUUUUUUAAAGGGGAGAGGCCAAGACAGUAGCUUGCUACUGGGUCUCUCAUGUGUCGCCCAUGCGUUGCACUAUAGCUUUGGGCUUGGCACUCCCUCC
rfam:Glycine soja cultivar W05 scaffold1357_37, whole genome shotgun sequence.